UGGGGAAUUUUGCGCAAUGGGGGAAACCCUGACGCAGCGACGCCGCGUGGAGGACGAAGGCCUUCGGGUUGUAAACUCCUUUUCUCGGGGAAGAAAAAUGACGGUACCCGAGGAAUAAGCCACGGCUAACUCUGUGCCAGCAGCCGCGGUAAGACAGAGGUGGCGAGCGUUGUUCGGAAUUACUGGGCUUAAAGGGCGCGUAGGCGGUGGGAUAAGUCUGAUGUGGAAGCCCGGGGCUCAACCCCGGAAUUGCGUCGGAAACUGUUUCACUUGAGUCAGUGAGGGGAGGGCGGAAUUCCUGGUGUAGCAGUGAAAUGCGUAGAUAUCAGGAGGAAGGCCGGUGGCGAAGGCGGCCCUCUGGCGCUAGACUGACGCUGAGGCGCGAAAGCGUGGGUAGCAAACAGG
rnacentral:rRNA from 1 species